AUGAAUUUGGGAGCAAGGGGACACAAUUCAGUCCAGAACACUUCCUUAGACUUGUUAGAUAAGCUCAGUCCAAAAGAAAUACAACGCAAUUUAAAUUUUUCUAGUAGCCACAUUUUUUUAAAAAGUAAAAAGAAACAAGUGAAAUUAAUUGUAACACUAUCUGACGCUAUGCUGUCCAACACAGUAGCCACUAGUCACACGUUAGAUAAUUCUCCAAGCUGAAGAGAGAGGUCAAAUAAGAGAGUGACAGUGGAUCCAAGAUACAGCUGGGGUGCCAGGGUGGGGGGUCGGCAAGGAGUCACAAUGACUCAUAGAAUGUCCAGGGAGUUUUGAGGAUCUGAGAGCACGGGGACCUGUGCUCACGUCUGAGGUGGGGCCAGGGUGAAUAGGGGAGGGUAGAAGUGGCAACUAGAUGCGUCUAGGACAGCGCCCCACGUCUGCCACAUCCCCCCAAGUCUCCAGAGUGGCACAGGGGAACAUCCAACAGUUCCCCAGUCCCUAAGAGGGGUGAGGACGUGGCUCAGGGAGAAUCGUCACCGUCAGGAUAGGCCGCUGCAAGUGCAGGACUGAUGAUCCGAGUCGAUGGGAAUGUGGACACAGCAGUGAACGCCAGCCUGGAGGGGCGCUGAUGGCCAAAGACCUGAUGCUUCACGUCAUGUCUCCUAAACUUCAGUGCCACUCUGGGGAGAUGAGAGGGAAAGGGGAAGUUCUGAAUUCAUAGUUUACCUGAAACGAUGAAAAGACCCAGAGAUGAGGAAACUGAGGCCAAGAGAGUUUGGGCAACCUGUCGAAAAUCACACAGUGCUAGAAUUAUGAAUAAAACUCAAGUCUCUUAACUAUCAAUCCAAUGUCCUUUUAGUGCCUUUAUAUAAAACUUAAACGGCAGUACAACAUACUGCUGCUUUAAAAAAAGAAAAUUCCACUGCCAGCCCAGUGGCAUAGUGAUUAGGUUCCCACACUCCACUUCAGCGGCCUGGGUUUCAUGGGUUCAGAUCCCUGGCGCAGACCUGGCAGCAUUCAUCAGGCCACGCUGUGGCGGCAUCCCACAUAAAGUAGAGGAAGAUUGCCUCAGAUGUAGGCUCAGUGACAAUCUUCCUCAAGCAAAAAGAGGAAGAUGGGCAACAGAUGUUAGCUCAGGGCCAAUCUUGCUCACACACACACAAAAAAGUUCCUGAUCAGAGAUUUUAAAAUUCCCCGUGGCAGGAAUCAUACUUUACACAUCUUUGUGUUCACACAGAGCCUAGCAGAGCCCUCUGGAACAGUGAGUGCUCAAUACAAAUAUUUCAAAUGAAUUAAUGGAUUUUUCUUAAUGCUACAGUGUGUGUGACUUUUUGGGGGGGGUAUAGCUCAAUAAAAUUGGAUUUUGCUGUGUACAAUGGUUAGAAACUACAUUGAAUUUAUGAUGGCAUAAGUGAAUGAAUGGAACAGUUAUCUGGAAUUUUAAAAAAUUAUAUAAAGGAAGACUGACUGCCAGCAUGGAUGAUAUACGCUAAAAGUCCCUUUUUCUAAAGAGUGAAGAUUAUGCUUUCAUAAUUAAAUGAAACAAUUGCCUGAAAUUUUCACAUUUCUUUCCCUAUCUACAUUGAAUCUUGGACUGUGUGUCUGUGAGGUCACACAUCUUGAUCAAAACUAGAAAAUAAGGUAACCAUCAAGAUGUUGAUGUAGUCACAGCAUAAAUGAAAGAAUAAGCACACAACUGUCAUCAGAGAAGUUACACCGCUGACGUGCAUCAAAAUAUUAUAUGUACAUAGUAAAGCCAUUCCAACUGUUGCAAUAUUGCACAGACACUAAAAUUCAUGACCUUGAAGAUGAUGUGGCAACGUGGGGAAAAAGGUUUGUGAUCUAAUAUUUCACUAGGAAAUCAGUAUUCAUUAUCACAUAAUUUUAUAGAGAAGAAUUCUGUACAGAAAAGAGGCAAAAAUGAAAUAUACCAAAAUAAUAACAGUAGCUGUGUUAGAGUGGUGGCAAUAUGAGUACUUCUUUCUUAUCUCCAGUUAUAUUACUUCUGUAACAGAAAAAAAUUUACAAGCACAAAGAAAAUAAGUUCUAUAAAAGUAUAGUGAACAUCUGUUAUUCAUGGCAGCCCCAAAUCUUCUGAAAAACCAGCCCAUAUUUUGAUAGUUCCCCACAUUAUGAAUUCUGUCUUCGUAACGUGAAUUCUAAAACUUCACAUUUCCUAAUAUCCCCAGCCUCUGAACCUCCAGUGUAAGGUCAGUUUCUGGCUCCCAGGUGCACCCAUCAGAACUACCUGAGGGGCAGACAGGCUCCAGAUAACCGAGCUGCUGGCACAAGUGGCUUCAAUGCCAUGGUUCUGGGGCCAGCAGUGGGAGCAGGAGCUUCCCCAUGGCAGCAAAGACAGUUUGAUUCUGGGACUGGUGGUGACUCUGCCUAGAACCUGCUCCUCCAGGCUUUCCAACAAUUACCUGGACUUUCUAAUCUCCCUUAAUAAAUUCCAUCUCAUUUAAAUGACUUCGAGUUGAUUCUUUUGUCCACACGUAAGAAGGCUAACAGAUAGAAAGGGUAACAAAACUGGAAUCCAUCUAAGAAAAGGUAAAUGAGGGGUGACAUCAUUAAAGAGAAGAUCAUUCUGAACUUCAAAAACACGUUGUGAUCAAGUAAAAGACCUUUCAUCCGGUAAAUGUCAGAGUCAUGAAGGUGAUUUCCAGGCAAAGCCUUUAAUAGCUGCUGCGUGACCUGCAGCUCUCUGCACUGCAGCAACCAGGGGUGGCCUUGUGUUCCGGACGACGCAGCUUCACGGUGAUGCAUCCUCUAUCCUCCCAGUCACUUGAGACACUUUGUGGAAGAGAGCCCCUACAGAUGCAAAUAGGACAUGUAAUAUGAGCAAGAAAUAAACCUCUGUCACUUUAGGGCCCCUGGGAUUUAGGAGUGCGUUUGUCACCACAGCGCAGCCUGACCUCAGCUAAGACACAAUGGCAUCUAGAAUGGGAUGUGUUUAAUGACCAAAACAAAUAAAUAUGUAAGUUUAAAAGCCUUGUAUGAUUAGAGAACAAUUUAUCGAAUAAAAGUAAAUCAAAUAAAGAAUGGACUAAGGAUUCGUUAUUUUGCAUCAAGUAAAGAUAUCUGAGUUUACCUGAAAGCAACAUCAAUUAGGGUUUAUUAAAAAUCCUAAAUAUUUAAUGAUCUUAAAAACAAUGAAUAGGUUAUGCUUUUCAAUUCUCACAUCAAAAAAAUUAGAAUUUGUGAUGCAUAUUAAUCUUAAAAUAAU
rnacentral:lncRNA from 1 species